CACACUGCACUACCCUGACAGUGGUCCAUGCUGCAUCUUAGGAACGUCAUAUUUCCUAUGAAGACCAAUUGCACGGCUCCACAGCUGUAUGUGACACAGACCACAUAUUGCAGGAAUGGAGAGUUCCUAAACCCAUAACUUCAAGUCAUGAAGGAGAUGGCAAAUCCCUUAGCUGACUUCUAGCAAAAUUCCUUUUCCCUGAAAAACUUUUCAAGCCAACCACAAAAUCAGUUGGCUGAUAGGAUCAUCAGGCUCCAAAACUUCACAUUUCAACCAAACCACCAGGUUUUCAGAGAGGCCUAAAAACCUUCUGCAAAUAAAAGCAUAAGGACAUCCUUCCUGAACGAGCUGCGCUUACGUGUAACAGCUCCACGAAAUUAAGUUACUUACUUACCCAGCUAAAAAGGCAGAGGUAAAUCCA